ACUUGGAGGAAUGUAUAGCAAUAGCUGAUUGCACCAACAAAUAGUUGAUGCAAUAUUGACUCUGUCAAAUAAAAUUCUAGGUAGAAUUAUGAUAAUGACAUUGUCUGCCUAUAUGUCUUGACCAAAUUACGUGCCAGCAGUCGCGGUAAUACGUAGAAGACUAGUGUUAUUCAUCUUUAAUAGGUUUAAAGGGUACCUAGACGGUAAAUCAAGCCUUCACAGGGACUAAUUUACUAGAGUUACUUACGAGGGGGUAUUAAAGUACUGCAGGUGUAGAGAUGAAAUUCUGUCAUACCUCUUUUCAAAAGAAAAAUUAUGGCACAGGUAUAGGUGAAAGCAUCCCCUUAUGUGAUAACUGACGUUGAAGGACGAAGGCUUUGUGUCGCGAACAGGAUUAGAUACCCCAGUAGUCAAAGCAGAAAAUGAUGAAUGUCAUAGAUUAGAUAAAUAGUUUAUUCUAUAAAUGAAAAUGUAAGCAUUCCACCUCAAGAGUAAUUUGGCAACAUUGGAACUGAAAUCAUUAGACCGUUUCUGAAACCAGUAGUGAAGUAUGUUGUUUAAUUUGAUGAUCCGCAAAAAACCUUACCACAAUUUGAAUAUUUAUAUCUAUCUUUUUUUUUCGUAAAAAAAUAAAAAGGUAAUAUAUUUACAAGCGUUGCACGGCUGUCUUCAGUUAAUGUCGCGAGACUUUGGUUAGUUCCAUUAAAUUAACGUAAACCCUUACUUUAUUUUUAUAUGAAGUAGUUCCCCGCUAUAUUGGAUAUGAUAACAGG
rnacentral:rRNA from 1 species